ACUUUUAAAUAAGCAAGAGUUUGUAGUGGAUGCCUUGGGUCUGGAAGUCGAUGAAGGACGUGAUUACCUGCGAUAAGCUUCGGUUAGUUGGAAAUAAACUAUGAGCCGGAGAUCUCCGAAUGAGGAAACUCGAUACAAGUAAUGUUGUAUCACUCCCCUUUGAAUAUAUAGAAGGGAAAGAGACAUACGUUGUGAACUGAAACAUCUUAUUAGCAACAGGAAAAGAAAAUAAAUAAUGAUUCCGUCAGUAGUGGCGAGCGAACGCGGAAGAGCCCAAACCACAUUUUGUGGGGUUGUAGGACUGCUCACAUAGAGUUACAAAAUAUUUAUAUAGAAGAAUAAACUGGAAAGUUUGGCCAAAGAGGGUGAUAGCCCCGUAUUCGAAAUAUAAAUAUCUCUUAGCAGGAUCCUGAGUAGGGCGGGGCACGUGAAACCCUGUCUGAAUCCGCCGGGACCACCCGGUAAGGCUAAAUACUAACCAGACACCGAUAGUGAACUAGUACCGUGAGGGAAAGGUGAAAAGAACCCCGGAAGGGGAGUGAAAUAGAAUCUGAAACUACAUACUUACAAUUAGUCAGAGCGCGUUAAUGCGUGAUGGCGUACAUCUUGCAGGAUGGUCCGGCGAGUUAUAUUAUCAUGCGAGGCUAAGUGGAGAAAAGCGGAGCCGUAGAGAAAUCGAGUCUUAAUAGGGCGAAUUAGUAUGAUGGUAUACACCCGAAACCAGGUGAUCUAUUCAUGAGCAGACUGAAGCUUGGGUAAUACCAAGUGGAGGGUCGAACCGUAGUACGCUGAAAAGUGCCCGGAUGACUUGUGAAUAGCGGUGAAAUUCCAAUCGAACCUGGAGAUAGCUGGUUCUCCUCGAAAUAGCUUUAGGGCUAGCGUGUGAUGUUAAACUCUGGUGGUAGAGCACUGAAUAUGGAAUGGCGGCGCCUAGCUGUACUGACUAUAAUCAAACUCCGAAUACCAUUGUGAAUUAUCAUGCAGUCGGAACAUCGGUGAUAACGUCGAUGCUCGCGAGGGAAACAACCCAGAUCGUCAGCUAAGGUCCCCAAAUUAUGUUAAGUGAGAAAAGUUGUUGAGUUUCAUAAACAACUAGGAGGUUGGCUUAGAAGCAGCCACCCUUUAAAGAGUGCGUAAUAGCUCACUAGUCAAGAAAAGCAGCGCUGAAAAUAUAACGGGACUAAACAUAAUACCGAAGCUACGGGUACUACUGGUACGUUAGAGGAGCGUUCUUGUCAGCACUGAAGCCAAAGCGUGAGCAUUGGUGGAGCGUCAAGAAGUGAGAAUGCCGGAAUGAGUAACGAUUGAAGGUGAGAAUCCUUCACGCCUAUUGGGGAAGGUUUCCUGGGCAAGGUUCGUCCACCCAGGGUUAGUCAGGGCCUAAGGCGAGGUCGAAAGACGUAGUCGAUGGACAACAGUUUAAUAUUACUGUACUUGCGGUGAUAGUGAUGGAGUGACGGAGAAGGAUAGUUUUACCAGUUAACGGAUUCUGGAGUAAAUAAUUAGUGGUCAGUGUAGGCAAAUCCGCACUGUAUAACUGCGAGUUAUGAUGCAUAGCGAACGGCAACAAGUAGCGAAUUAAACGAUUUCAUGCUUCCAAGAAAAGCUUCUAAACUUAAUAUCACAGUAACCUGUACCGAGAACGGACACACGUCCUCAAGAUGAGUAUUCUAAGGCGAGCGAGAAAACCAUUGUCAAGGAACUCUGCAAAUUGACCCCGUAAGUUCGCGAGAAGGGGCCCUCAAAACCAUCAAGUUAAUUCUUUUUGAAUUUUGAGGCACAGUAAAUUUCAAGGGGGAACUGUUUAUCAAAAACACAGCUCUCUGCUAAAUCGUAAGAUGACGUAUAGGGGGUGAAGUCUGCCCAGUGCCCGAAGGUUAAGUGGAGCUGUUAGCUUUAGCGAAGCAGCAAAAUGAAGCCCGGGUGAACGGCGGCUGUAACUAUAACGGUCCUAAGGUAGCGAAAUUCCUUGUCGGCUAAAUACUGACCUGCACGAAAGACAUAAUCAUCUCUUGACUGUCUCGACAAUGGACUCGGUGAAAUUAUGGUGGCAGUGAAAACGCUGCCCACCCGCAUCUAGACGAAAAGACCCCGUGGAGCUUUACUAUAACUUUGUAUUGAAGUUUGGCUUAACAUGUGUAGGAUAGGUGGGAGACUAUGAAGCGAGGACGCUAGUCCUUGUGGAGUCAACCUUGAAAUACCACCCUUGUUAAGUUGAGCUUCUAACCUACGACCAUUAUCUGGUCGGGAGACAGUGCAUGGUAGGUAGUUUGACUGGGGCGGUCGCCUCCUAAAAGGUAACGGAGGCGUUCAAAGCUACACUCAAUACGGUCAGAAACCGUAUGUAGAGCGCAAAGGUAAAAGUGUGGUUGACUGCGAGACCUACAAGUCGAGCAGGUGCGAAAGCAGGACUUAGUGAUCCGGCGGUACAUUGUGGAAUGGCCGUCGCUCAACGGAUAAAAGCUACCCCGGGGAUAACAGGGUUAUCUUCCCCAAGAGAUCACAUCGACGGGAAGGUUUGCCACCUCGAUGUCGGCUCAUCGCAUCCUGGAGCUGAAGUCGGUUCCAAGGGUUUGGCUGUUCGCCAAUUAAAGCGGUACGCGAGCUGGGUUCAGAACGUCGUGAGACAGUUCGGUCCCUAUCUGAUGUGGGCGUUGGAAUAUUGAUGAGAGCUGCUCUUAGUACGAGAGGACCGGAGCGGACGUACCGCUGGUGCUCCAGUUGUUUCGCCAGAAGCAUAGCUGGGUAGCCAAGUACGGAAAGGAUAACCGCUGAAAGCAUCUAAGCGGGAAGCCUCCUUAAAGAUGAGUAUUCCCUUGAAAUUCCUUAUAGACGAUGAGGUUGAUAGGCUGGAAGUGUACGUGUAGUGAUACAUUUAGCUGACCAGUACUAAUAAAUUGAUAGGUUUAAAAG
rnacentral:rRNA from 2 species